rnacentral:lncRNA from 1 species
CUCAAAAACAAACAAACAAAAAAGUGAAGAAAGUACAUCCUAGCUCUACUCAAAAGACUGUAGGAAUCAGAUACUAGCCACUGUCCAGAAGCCCUCAAACACACCUCAAGGCCAAAAAACACAGCACUUUUAAGUGGCAAGCGAGGGUGGUAAAGGUAGCCCAGAACACUGAAGAGCUACAGAAGUUCCCACAAACUGCACGGCUUUCCGUCCCUUCCUCCACUGUAGAUAGCAAGGGUCAGUCAUGGCCUCAGAGCCAGGCUACUCCUCGUUAAGGUACAGUCUCCGGCCUGUACUUUGGCCACAUAACAAAGCUUGGUCUGAGACAGCAGCUAUUUCACACACCUAAGCCCCAAGCAACAGACAAGGAUCAGUCAAUAUGGUUGAGGGAACCUGCACUUUCUGGCAUGUAUCGGAAUUCCUCAGGCUACAAUUAAAAAUCCAGAACUGCCAUUGUGAUCUUGACUUAGUCCUCAGUAAUAAGUCCAAGCCCUGAAGGGAUUGCAGACAGACCCUGGCGUGGUGUGGACCUGUUGCUCAGGGAGGUGUAUGUGUGUGUGUUUGGGAGUGGGAAAGAGAUGGCCCUUCAAUUCCAGACUCCUCAUUUUGGGUCUUAUUCUCCUCCCUAUAGACACACGGACAGCAGUCCCAAGAAAAGCAGUCCCUUUGAGGCGGCUGGGAAACCACUCACGUGCUCUGGGAGGACAGAGCUGAGCCUGGAGCAAGGGGGGAGGGGAAAGAAGAUAAUGAAUGGGCACAUCCACCCUGAUCUGUGAUCUGUAGCUAGGAUUGAGCAAACCUCAGCUAAAUUCUUCAGAGGCAGAAAGAGAGAGACACUCAAAGAACAACAUAACUAGAGGACAGGGCUGGGAGACAGAAGGGGCAAAACAGGAAAACAGCUCAUUUCUAGUAAGUGACUUUAAACUCAGCUGAGGUCCUGGUUGGUUCUCUGGCUUGAGGAAAGAGAGGAAGUAAGGAGUUGCGGGAGCGCACACACACUUCUGUGCGUGUGGAACGGUCUCACCCAGACGACCCCCCUCCCCCAAAGGAAAUCGAGAUAUUCCUCUAGGGCUAGAGGGGACAACUGGUUUUGUGGGACAGGAGGAAGGAAAACGGCGACAGACAGCACUCCCUGUCACUUCUAAAAGAGAAGAGGGACAGGUUCCUUCACACCUAGCAAAGAUCCUCCGAUUCUGGAAGCAGGGGGAGCGGAACUUAGGGUACCUCUCUCCCACAACUAGAAUGGACAGGCCAGAGGACAGUCAUAGCGGUUUCCUUAAGGCUCACCAAAGGCAGCCGCUCCGGAUCCGGAUCUCCACCUCCGCCCCGCCCCUCAAUACUCCCAGGUGAUUGACAGUGCGGAGACCAAUGGGAGGCACUCUUGGCCGACCUACCCAGCGGCGCCGGGACACUACUGAAAACCUGUGUGGAAUCAAAGCUCACCGGAGACAGCUGUGGCCAUUGUGCCUAUAACGCCAACACCAGGCAUAUCCUGGAGCCUCAGCUGGAGAAUUUACCUGUCUUGGACAACCUGCCACAAAACUGUGCCCACAUCUAGUUCCAUCUGGUCAUCAGGGCGUCUCUCUUUCUUACACCCAUAACACACAAUCCCCACUUCCGCGCCAGUGUUCAUGAGAAGUGAAAAGGAAGAGGGAAGAGAGGGCUUGUUGGGAGGACAGAGGGGAUGGGGCAGAGUGGGAUUCCUAGCAGGUUCUGGCUGGUGACAAGCUCUUCCCCCAGCCCCCUUGCCAUACCCAGUUCUGGAACAGUUCCUUAUACAGGAGGGAUGGGUAGUCCCCUAGGCCCACCUUUCCAAGGCUGGAGGUGGGCCAAAGCCAGGACUCUGUCCUUCCCACAUACUGUGUGCAUACAUGGCUGUGACUGGGGUGCAGGGGAGAGAAGGGGGUAUAAUAGGCCCAUAGUGACUAAUUAAGUUUCUUCCUCAACCCUGGGGCCCCUGGUGGUGUGAAUGUGGUGCCAAGUAGAUUGGCUGGUGCCUCUGCCCUUCCUAGAGAUAGCAACUGGGCCCUGGGGUACAACGAAGGUGAGGGUGGGGAGUGAUUGCUGUGUUGGCUCCUCCAAAGCCCUGGGGCUCUCAGAGUAACCCCCAGAAACACCCAGAGCCAAUAACUACAAAAAUAAAGAGUUUAUUUCCUAUCCAAAAGUGAGCCCAGGGUGUUGGGUGGUAGAGGAGAGCUGGAGACCUGGGCGAGUUUUGGAGCAGUCCAGGCCCUGAGUGAGACCAUGUUGUAAUGGGGGAGAACAGGCUUGGCAGCGGUCUGGGGUCAGGGAAAGGAUAGGGAGUGCUGUUGGGAUUUUUGAGUUGCUAGCAGCAGAAGAGACCACCUUGAGAGACAGCCUGCAGAGAGACAGAAACAGAGAUGUUGACAGACCCACGCCUAGGAGUAGAAGCAGACAUUACUGGGCCCAAAAAGCACCUGUUGGGCACAGGGACCUGGGAACACACUGUUAGGUAAGGCAGAGGUUGCAAACUCAACCCCUGGGCUCCACCCCGGACAUUCCAAAUUGGAUGAGGCCCAGGAAUCUGCUUUUUAUUUUUUUAUUUUUUUGAGCCUCCGCGCCUGGCAGAAUCUGCGUUUUAAUAGGAUCUCAGGUAGUUCUGAUGGACACUCAAGUUUUGAGAACUCAAAUACCCACAGAGACCAAACAAAAAUUUCAAACAAGGGAAGCUAGCUGGGUGUCGGGAGAUGAUCAAGAAACGUGGUGACUGCGAAGUAGAGUGCAGAGCAGAUCCCAUCUAAAGAGGACAGUGGCCACCCAGCCCAGCUGAUUGCCAGUUAUUGCCAGAUGGAAUGUUGGCCCACGGUAGCCUGAUGUCCUGAGGUUUUUUUUGUUUUGUUUUGUUUGAGCAGGGUCUCA